ACAAAAAAAAAGACAGAAACAAUAUAAUAAAAUACAUCUCUUUAAUAACAUAUACACAUUUCAAUACAUGGAAUGUUUUCGUUCAUUUCACAGCUUCUGUUUAUAGCACCCUUUUAUUGCACAUACAAAAGCUAAAAAUAUUAAAUAGACCUUUUUCUAUUCUCUUAUCAAUAAAAACAUCAACAUAAAAAUAAUAAACUUAUUUGCAAGAAAGAUCAGUUCUGCAUUAAAAAUUAAAUAAAUGUAGGAAAAAUUUAUUCUACAAAUACUUUAAUCCAAGAAUAAUUCAGACUUAUCACUCUUUUCCCACACUAAUCCAAGAAUAAAUCUGACUUAUCUCCCUUUUCCCAUACUUUGAUAAAAUCUGAUUUAAAACUGAGUUAUCUCCCAUUACCCAUACUUGAUAAAUUCUGAUUUUAACUGAAUCAUCGCCACUUGAUGUUGAUUAUAUUGAUAGAUAUUUCUUUUUAUAGUUAGAUAUAAAUCAGAUAACGGCUGUAACUCUUAACAUUUAACAAUUACCUAGAGAAUCCUAUUAUUAUAUGAUUCAACAUGGCUUUCUGACAGAUUUCUUCCAUCACAACUGUAUUUAUUAAGUGAUUUUCAUAUGUAAAUACAAUGGAAUUAAAUCAUAUCAUGUAUGAUUUGAAUCAACAGUUUCUAUCCGAAAACAAAAUUUUCAAUAGAGAGUUUAUAUAUACUUUUUGCAGAAGAAA
rnacentral:lncRNA from 1 species